UCCAGACUCCUACGGGAGGCAGCAGUGAGGAAUAUUGGUCAAUGGGCGGAAGCCUGAACCAGCCAAGUCGCGUGAGGGAAGAAGGCCCUGCGGGUCGCAGACCUCUUUGGACGGGGAGCAAGGCCGCCGACGUGUCGGCGGAAGGAGAGUACCCGUAGAACAAGCAUCGGCUAACUCCGUGCCAGCAGCCGCGGUAAUACGUAGGGGGCAAGCGUUAUCCGGAAUUACUGGGUGUAAAGGGUGAGUAGGCGGCAUGGUAAGCCAGAUGUGAAAGCCUUGGGCUUAACCCGAGGAUUGCAUUUGGAACUAUCAAGCUAGAGUACAGGAGAGGAAAGCGGAAUUCCUAGUGUAGCGGUGAAAUGCGUAGAUAUUAGGAAGAACACCAGUGGCGAAGGCGGCUUUCUGGACUGAAACUGACGCUGAGGCACGAAAGCGUGGGGAGCGAACAGGAUUAGAUACCCGCGUAG
rnacentral:rRNA from 1 species